CAAUAAAAUAAUUUAUUUCAAUAUAAAACAGUUCAGAUGCUACAUUUUUGUAGGUAUUUACUGCUUCUAACAAACAAUUUUCUUACAAAAGGAAUGUAGAGUUAAAAAAUCACUGAGCGGAAUGUAAAAUUGUCUAAUUGAGUUGACUUUCAGAUGAAAUUAAAAUGGAAUUUUUGGUAUACCUAGUGCGCGUAAAGCAAGAAGUCCAAUCAGAACACGAGGCGUAUGACUGCGCAUUACGCAAAAACAGAUCUCAGCCGGGUUUAUAUAUUUAGUCCUCAGUCUAUGAUCUGCGCAAACCGCUAUGUUACAACUUCAGGUUAGACUACUUGCUUUGCGUCCACUUUAAUAAUAAUAAUUGGCGCUGGUUGUACGCAAAACCUAAAUAGUUAGAGACAGUAAAAUCAUACUGUCCUUUUUGCAGGCAACCUUGCAACUUUGUGACAAAAAAACAGUAGGUACAACCUAUUCUCAUCCUUACAAUUUAGUUUUGUGUGCUACCGAGUACCAAUUAUUAUCGAAUUAGUACAGUUUAAAUACCUAGAUACCUAACAUUGUACAGACAAAUCAAGCUAAUUAGAUUUAUUUAAUCUAUAGAGAAUACUGCACAUUUAAAAACCCAUUUAUUUAUUAUGGCAAAGUGAUUACAGGGAAUAAUCGAGUAAAGCUUUCUUUCCCUAUACCUAUAUGUAUUAUACUAAUUAAUUAAUUACAUACUACAAAGUGUAAAAAGUCUAUUUAUUUACAAAAUAGGUGGACUCUUCGUUAAAUCGCUCAAAAUACACACAACACUCUUGACGGUCACGGACAGUAUUUACAUUGCGUCAUAUUCGUCCUCAAAAGUAUAAAACGUGCGUAACUUUAUUUCGCAUUUACAUUGUAAAUAGAAUAAUGUCAUGGAAUUCCAAUAAGCCGAUCAUGGGUUUCGCCGAUAAGCUUAUUGUUUGAUCCGCGAAAUCCAUAUCUGACCCAUCUUUAAUAUGUAAUUCAUUGACAAUGUUAAAUUCCAAUGUUACCCACAUUUAUCUACUGUAGCAAUAUAACCGUUACCUAUAUUUUAAAUUUUUUCUAUACUUUUUACUACAUGCUUCUCGAAACUGUGCCUAAUAAUAUAAAAGCCGAUGAACUAUUUAUUCAAAUUGUUUUAUAGGUUUGUACAAAACAACUUAGCUACCGUUUGUAAUGACGAAAUAGCAAUGUUUUCUAUUUCAUAGGUUUUUUUGUUGUUAAAAUCAUUUAAGUAAUUGUGUUGAAAGCAAUUUAAAAUAAAUGUGACAUAGGUAGUUUAUUUGAAAAUUUGUCGGAUUUGAUUUUUAUGCUUAAAAUAAUAUAAGUUAGUAUUAGGUAAGUACCUAAUUAUACCUACUUCAAUAUGUAAUGAUCAAAAAUUUAGAUCAAUAUAAAACCUUUGAAAAAUCAUUCAUCGACUCUCAGCCUACUAAACUUUAAAUGUUAACUAGUAAUUAUUGUAGUUUUAAAUAAGUUUUGGUAUCUUAUAAAAAUAUUUCACAUCUUGUAAUCCUACAGCUAGGGUAGGUACAUAAUAAAGAUCUACGUAAUCUUAAUAACUUACUUAUGUACAUUUAUCUACUGACUUUGGAUCUAACUCUAACAAAAUCUAACAAGCCAAAGAUUUAUAAUGAAGCACAAUUUUAAAAACAUUUUUUUCUACGACAUUGGUGGCAAUUUUCUGUUACACAAAAUUAUUAUUGCCAUCCCGUUCCUCACAAAUUUUUAAAGUAAAACUUAAGACGCGAUAUUUGAGAGUAAUUCAGAUCUUUGAUAAUGGGCGCCAAACAGAACGGUUUAUUUUGAGGCCGCCAUCUUUUAGCAGUGUUAUAUAAUUAAUUUUUAUUUUUAAUAUAGUAGGUAGGUACCUACCUACCUAAUUAUCAAGUAGUUAGUGCCAUAGAUUAAAAGCUCUAUUUUUAACUUAGGUAUGAACUAAGUAUAGCUAGCUCAUUUUCAUCUCACACGACUUAAUUAUUUAUUUUUAAUUUAAUCGUAGUUAGUUAGGUAGGUAAGGAACAUAACAUUAUUUGAAACAGCGUCAAAAAGUUUUACUUCAACCACGCGUUUAAGGUUUAAAACGCGUUAAUUAAGUUUUUGUGUACAAGAAUAAUUGAAAUAUUAUACUUAAAUACCUACAGAACUUUUUUGAACUCGAUUAAAAAUAGUUUUCCAUAUUUACAAAUAAUAAAGUCUUAAUAAUAGAUUAAAUACUACAUUUACAUCAUAUUAAAAUAUAUUGAACACCCGUUUAUUUAAAAUCCUACAAAAUUAACAGAUUUUCUCUAUUGUUUUUAUCUAAAAACAAUUUACAAAGUUGAGAUCGAAUUUCAUUGUCAUAGAAAUUUUGAGCAUUUGAGUGCAAUAUGGUGGAUUUAUAAUAAUAUUGAAUCUUAAAACUACCAUUUUUUUUUUAUAAUGGCAACUAUUCUAUUUAAAGCAUAGACAAUGUAUGCUUGAUAAUAAUUAUUUAGCGGUAAAGUAUUUGAAAUAACCGCUAAAUAAUUAACCAAGAUGCAAACUUAGCGAAGAGUAAAAAGAUCGAAGAAAAAGGUUACUGACAAGAUAUCACAAAAAACGCAAAUAAUCCUGUAUUUUUAAAAGCGCAAUGUAUAGAUAAUAAAUCAUCUGCCUAACGCUGGAGUUCAACGAACGUGGCGUAGAUAGCAGCCGCAGGGUCAAUGCCACGUCGCAGACGGGAACGUAGGUCAAGUGGAAGUUAUCAUCCAUGUUAAGGUAAUAAAGGUAAUAGGCAACACUCUCGUUCUGCGAUCUUUCUUUUCUUCUACAUCUAGGCUGGCAGGUCGAUAUUAUCUAUGGCAGUGAGCACUAAGUUUGUGACAGUCUUUGCAAAUACAGCUAAAUAGUUAUUAUUAACAUAAAUGAGUAUUGA